CAGAGAACAGAACAGAAAGAAAUAGCAAGUGAAGAGGAAUCUCCAGUACCUCUGUACUCUCAUCUAAACAGUGAAAGCUCCAUUCCAGAAGAAUUAGGCAGCCCUGCUGUUGAAUAUGUACCAUCCGAGUCUAUAGGACAGGAGCAGCCAGGGAGUCCAGAUCACAGUAUACUUACUGAAGAAAUGAUUUGUUCACAGGAACUAGAAUCUUCUACCUCUCCUAGUAAACAUUCACUUCCCAAAAGCUGCACAUCUGUGUCAAAGCAGGAGUCUAGCAAAGGAAGUCAUAGGACUGGAGGACAAUGUCACCUGCCUAUCAAGUCCCAUCAGCACUGUUAUAGUUGGUCAGAUGAGUCAUUAUCUAUGACACAGUCAGAAACUACAUCUGACCAGAGUGAUAUUGAAGGUAGGAUCAGAGCUCUGAAGGAUGAGUUGCGGAAAAGAAAAUCAGUUGUGAACCAGCUGAAGAAGGAACAG
rnacentral:lncRNA from 1 species